rnacentral:rRNA from 1 species
AUUGAACGCUGGCGGCAGGCCUAACACAUGCAAGUCGAACGAGUGGCGGACGGGUGAGUAAUGUCUGGGAAACUGCCCGAUGGAGGGGGAUAACUACUGGAAACGGUAGCUAAUACCGCAUACCAUCGGAUGUGCCCAUAUGGGAUUAGCUAGUUGGGGGGGUAACGGCUCACCUAGGCGACGAUCCCUCGCUGGUCUGAGAGGAUGACCAGCCACACUGGAACUGAGACACGGUCCAGACGCCUACGGGAGGCAGCAGUGGGGAAUAUUGCACAAUGGGCGCAAGCCUGAUGCAGCCAUGCCGCGUGUAUGAAGAAGGCCGUAGGGUUGUAAAGUACUUUCAGCGGGGAGGCGUUACCCGCAGAAGAAGCACCGGCUAACUCCGUGCCAGCCGCCGCGGUAAUAC